rnacentral:rRNA from 1 species
UACGAAGGGGGCUAGCGUUGCUCGGAAUCACUGGGCGUAAAGCGCACGUAGGCUGAUUGUUAAGUCAGGGGUGAAAUCCUGGAGCUCAACUCCAGAACUGCCUUUGAUACUGGCGAUCUUGAGUCCGGGAGAGGUGAGUGGAACUGCGAGUGUAGAGGUGAAAUUCGUAGAUAUUCGCAAGAACACCAGUGGCGAAGGCGGCUCACUGGCCCGGUACUGACGCUGAGGUGCGAAAGCGUGGGGAGCAAACAGG